rnacentral:rRNA from 1 species
UACGAAGGGGGCUAGCGUUGCUCGGAAUCACUGGGCGUAAAGCGCACGUAGGCGGAUCGUUAAGUCAGGGGUGAAAUCCUGGAGCUCAACUCCAGAACUGCCUUUGAUACUGAGGAUCUUGAGUAUGGGAGAGGUGAGUGGAACUGCGAGUGUAGAGGUGAAAUUCGUAGAUAUUCGCAAAGAACACCAGUGGCGAAGGCGGCUCACUGGCCCAUUACUGACGCUGAGGCACGAAAGCGUGGGGAGCAAACAGG